CAAGCAGAUUUACAGUUUUCAGACCAGAGUCCUAGGCUAUGUGUUAAAGAACAGGGAGCACUACCAUCCUGAGCCCACUGAGUAAAGAAAAUGAGCUGGUUUUGUUGUCGAAACUCCCAGUUCUAACUCUUGGCCUUUAGCUGCAUAGGAGGAUGGGAACUGAGAUUUUCUGUAGAGCCUGAAGGUCUGCUUCCCCUCCUCUUCAUGAGGAAGGGGGUCUCCUACUAUUUUCUUCUCUGUUUGGGCUAUUUUUACAACAACCUGGAAGGAGGUGCAUUUGCUAUGAUGUGCAGCUGGAGGGCUAUACUUCAGACCACAGGACUGCUAUUGCUCAUGGAACAACAUAUGAGUUAAAGGAUGGAAGAGAGAACUGAAAUACUGAAGAGUGACCAAACAAAUGGCAUCUUUAAUUGACCAAAUCUGUCCAGUGUAUAUUUGAGACACAUUUGCUUACUUUGGUGACAAAAAACAGGGCUUCCGGUGAUUGCCAGCUCAUGUUGCGUAUGAAAUGCAAGAACACUUUGUUGGCAAGAGAUAUUCACCAAUGAACAGCAAGAUGUUUGCCUCUUCCCUGAUCUGUUUUUGGUCUGGCAAAUGUUGUCAACAGCAACUCCAAAGACAGAUGGUUUUAAAAACAUCAAAAAAACAUCUGCAGGACUGAUUCAAUAAGCAGGGAAAAGAAGAUUCAAUCAUCUAAUGUUCCAUGAUGUACUUUAGAGACUUGAAACACUUAAACAUUAGCUUCUUGGAAUUAGCAGCAAUCUAUAAUACAUGUUUUGGUAAGAAUUAAGUACCUAGUUAAACAAAUUAUUGUAUCGUAGGCUUCAUCUUAAUUCUGUUUUUUGUUAAGCAGUGUGAGAGAGUACAAACAUUUCAAAAGUUACAGCAAUUGUACAGGCCAUUUACAAAUGCAGUAACUUAUCUUAACCAAAAUCAUAGCAUUCAUUAAACUUGUAAAAAUCUGGAAAAUUCCGUAUUACUUACUGCUCAGGUAAGCUUUCAAAGAGAGCAGGAGCUCCAACGCUUACUUUGAAUUUAAGAAAGUUUGUGUAUCUUUGUGGCAAGAACUAAAUGAUACUGAAAUGAAGAAGAUACAAUUUAAAAUGAAUAAACGGGACAACUAAUUAGCUAAUAGCCAGAUUGGUCUUGGUCUGUAGGGCUAUUUUAAGAUCUUGUAUUAACUCUGGAGCUCUGCUUCCCUGCAGCAUCUGACAGCUUCCCUGUGCACAUUAUACUUGCUGGAAUAUAUAAUAUACUAGAUCCUGUCAGUAAAAAAAAUUCCAUUCACCCCAAAUGACUACACCUGAAAGUAUGUGGCGCUGAUUCUAGGCAAUGUUUAAUAUUGUAAACAUCUCCACAAGUUUUCAACUCAUGUUUUAAAAGUUUCACUGAACAUGUAUCAUUGCACCCCAGCCACUCAAUGUGAAGACUAAAGGAAAGGCAAACUCUGACAGAUACCAAACUGCAGAUGUAAUAUACUGUACUGCAGUGGUUCUCUACCAGGGGUUUGUAGCCCCCAGGGGGCCACACGCGGGUUUCAGGGGCUCCGCCAAGCAUGGCCAGCAUUAGACUCGCUAGAGCCCAUAGCAGAAAGACGAAGCCCCGCUGCACAGAACUGCAACCCAGGACUAAAGCCAAAGCCUGAACAACUUAACUUUAUUGUGCCCUCUGUGGUGGGGCCCCAGACAAUUGCCCUGCUUGCCCCCCCCUAACGCUGGCCCUGGUUUUUAUAUGCCGAAAACAGUUGUGGCACAGCUGGGCCCUGGAGUUUAAUAGCAUGUUGUGGGAGCCUCAGAAAGAAAAAAGUGGCAAACCCCUGCUAUACUGAACAAACUUUUGCACAAGCAAUCUCCCCAUACAAGUAAUCUCACUAAAUCAAUGGGACUACUUACUGUAGGUCAGGCUUGACAUGAAUAAUUGGACAUGGGUGAAGCUUCAUUUUUGGGAGACAGGUUUAGUAUAUUAUACAAAGUAAAACCAGUGGUAAGUAAUAUGGAGCCAAAAAGCUUGCUCUUUUUUAUCACCACAGAUAAGUUAAAAAUUUGGUACAAAAGAGGGACAUCACAUGGUGCAGAAUAAAAAAUUAACAAGGAUCCAAUACCGUGAAGUUAAAUGUAAAACCACUGCAACCCAUACAGUGUGGAACGAAUUUGUUUUCCCUUCUCAAAUACUGUUAC